GCCAUGUUGUCCAGCCGCCAACGUCGUCUGUCUAAAAGUGGAGGGCACCCAAGCUCUCGCCGAAAUAGCCUGCAGAGACUGGACUUACUGCCCCCUACAGGUACCAUAGGUAUCAUGUGCAAGAACUCAGUGAGCGGCAGCAGCAGUGGGUCACAGGAAAAGGCCAGUAAAGGAGUGACCUUUGCCUCUGAUUUUCCAAGAAUUUGAUUUCUUUUUCUAAGGAGCCCUUUGGCCUUUGUCCUGCUCUCCUUGUGGACUGAAGUGACACCAUUGCUUCCUCAUGCAACUGCUGAUGUGUGUGAGCACAUGUUUGUGAUGUCAGGAAAGGAGUGUGUGUUCUUCACAGACUGUGAUGUGAAUAUUUUUAACCAGUAUACCUCUGCUCAGUAUUCUAAGGAUGGUUUACCUAGUGAGCUUUCUGAAGAGACAGGGCACUUGGAAGCACAGACUUUAUAUAUGAAACUUGUUUAGAGAUGUGAUGCAGUUGAUCUCAUUCUCAGCACAGAUUUAUGGAGAAAUGCCCACUCAUUUGCAGCUAUAGCACCCCUAGUGGUUGAAUGUAUAAAUUGCAAAAGUUCUUUCACUUAGUCCGUGUGGCUGCUCUCUAUAAUGUUGUCAAUUCUAGAUCAGCUGCUCAGUACAUUUUUAUUCCAACUCUCAGGCAGUCAUAAAUGCCUGAACGAAUCGGUACUGAAAAGACUUGUACUGACUAAGUCCUUGUAAAGACUUAGGCCUCAUUGUAGGUUUGCUUUUAAAUAAAACAGUAUCAUGUACAUAAUUGACAAAUUGUAAAGCACAUUACGGCACAUAUAUGACUUUGUUGUUGCAGUGUUUUGCACUCUCAAUAAUUGCACACAAUAUUUUUUUUAAACUCCCAUAAUUCGCAGUAUUGACAUUUGAUUUUAUUUCUUUUUCACGAUACAGAUCUCUGAUGCCUCAAAAUGUGUCUAAAAUUAAUGUAGAUGUUGUGAGUAUCCAAAAACAAUGCAGAAUGCAAGGCUUUAUUGAUAUUUAGAUCUUUUAAUAUUUAAAUGCGAUUAAUAAGCAUAUUUAAAUGCACUUGUCAAUCAAUUCUCAUUUAGAUGUUACGCUAAUGUGACUGAAUAAAUGAAUUUCUGGAGGUAACAAUCUAACCAAAGUAUCUAAAACCACAUUUUAGAGAACAAAUAGUAGACAAUUGUUCAAAUAAAUCUGCCUUCAGUUCAGUAAAUGUCCAUACUGCCAUUUUUUUUCUAAAUUGUAAUUAUACAUUUAGUUGUAAUUUUAGUAGGUUCUGAUUAAGAAUUUAGUUCCUCCCAAUGUUAAAACAGCAUACGGUGUGAUUUUGCUUUAUUUAAUGGUUUUUCAGCUUAUGGCUGCUUAAUGUUUCCUAUAUUUGAAACUCUUUUGUCUUAAUGCUUUUCCUUUUGUUAUUCGUAUCUUAGUUAAUAGAGUGUGAAAUGAAGAUGUUGACUCGUGUUUUCUUAAUUAAAAGAAGAAAAACAAGCAAACAACUAACACACUGCACUUUUCUUCAAGGCAUUUGCCAGUAGAUGCCACAGAUCUGUAUAUAAGGACAGUAGUGAAUUGUGACGUGUGGAGUCUCAGUUUAUAUGCCUCGACCUAUGCAGCGAUGUUACGUAUAUAUGAAUAUGUGAAGACAAACAUAAACAUAUUGACAACUGAGAAACUGUGAAGUUUGAACAAUUGUUGCCUUAAAAGUGUCUGCGUUUGAUUUGACAACAGGUGUGUUCUACUGCACAGCACGAGAAGAUUUAUAUAUAGAUAUAGAUAUAUUUAGAUAAAGAGAAAAGCUGUAUUAUAUUAUGCGGAAAAAAAAGUUGUACUGCCAUGCAGAUUGUGACUUUUUUUUUUUUUUUUUUUACACAAUUUACUCUUGAUUCCUGGAUGAAACAUGAUUGUUGUAAAUGUACAAAUAAAUAAUGAUUCACAAACAACCAAAUGUUUCCUUAGAUUAAAACUGUAUGAACAUGUGCACUGGGAUCCAAAGGCCUGAGACCACACAUUUUUUUUUGCUUUUCCCCCC